CAGUUUUUAAUUGUCAUCUUCCCCCUCCCAUUGACUUGCAGGUUUUAUUUACAGUAAAAAAAGAACACAGGCGUCCCUAUCAAAUGGCUUGCUAAUCCUACUUCACACGACUAGAAGUUAGAAAACCUUACUGGGUUUUCAACUCCAAAGUCCAGAUUGGGAAUCCAAGAGAAGUCUUUGAGUGCAUCACUUGAAGAUAGUGCAACAAACCUUGAAGAGGUCAACAGAUCCUGCAAGUUUGGGCACAGUUAGAGUUGACUUCUCAGAAAGGAAUUGGAGACAUAUCAGGAUGAGUUUGAGAAUGAAAAGAACAUGCUUGGGGGUCAUUUGGGUGAGAAAGCAGCAGAGGAUCUAAAACAGAGAAUUAUUGAGCAUAACAUAUUAGUCGUGUCAAAAUAUUACUCUAGGAUCACAUUGAAGAGACUUGCAGAGCUGCUGUGUCUCACUCUCCAGGUUUGUUACCCACAUACCUCUUAAGUUUUUUUGGUAGAUUCAAUUCCUUUAAUUUUGUAGAUUUUCUUUCAUUUAUCGGAAAGGUGUCUUCAGGUUCUGUAUUCUCAUCUUAUACAUUCAUGGUAAAUAUACUUCAUUGUGAAGA